GUCUGCUCUCGAGUGAAAUAGAAGCUUGGUUUUGCCUUUGCUGAGUGAAACAGAACUUCGGUUUUGCCUUUGCUGGAUACUGAUCUGAUCGUCUCAAGUCUGAGUGAACAGAUCUUUGGUUUUGCCUUUGCUGGUGACCUGCUGCAGAAGAUCCUCUCUCUCUAUCAUUAUAAGCAAUUCUGUCUAUCCUAUCACUCUCCCGACUCUAUCUAAUUUGAGCAAUUCUAUCUUGUAUCCCUCUAUCCUCUACUGCUCUAUCUAAUUUGACAGCCAUUCCAUCUUGUAUCCCUCUAUCCUCUACUGCUCUAUCUAAUUUGAGAAUCCAAGUUUUCAGAAAUCAAAGUUUUCAGAAUCCAAGUUUUCAGAAAUCCAAGUACCAGUACUUGAUCUAUCUGUUUCAGAAUUCUGAGAGAUCUCUGCUCUCACUGCUCCUUCUUUCCUGUCAUUAAGCUCUCUCACAUUCAGUCAUUUUGCUGGAAAUUACAAGUUGAAUAUACAGUAGUAGAAUUACAGUACAGUAGAACUUAUAGUAGAACCUACUUACACAGCCCUACAUUAGUCAUUUUAAUUUUGCAUUAGACUUUGGAAUUAACACUGCUAGUUUGGCUUACUUUGAUACAUUGUAUAAAAUAUCACCUUUUUAUAAGUUUAUUUGUAAUAAGAUAAUCUGGUUCUUUUGUAAUACAUACAUUCAGAUAAAUAAUAAAUUAGAUCCAAAUACAUUUUGCUAGUCUCUUUCAUUGGCUAUAACAUUUGACUGCAAGUUUAUAGUAUUAUUAUUUAAGGACAAACCCAUUUUGUCACUCAGUGUAAGUAUUCAGUUAGUAUUGUCAUCGAGAAGUGCCUGAGAUCCCAGACUUCCUGUUUCCUGACUGCUGCAGAACAUCCAGCUGAAGAAUCAUCACCUGUCAUCUUAUCACCACACCACCAAAGCUCCAUCUAUUUGAUUUAAAUUUUAGAUAUCUGAAAGAUUUACAUAAACUCGCAUAAGAGCUAAGACUUUUAUUAUAGCCUGUUGAUUGAGAUUUAUUCUGCAUAUCAUCUUACAGAAGUUGUACUUAUUUAUCAGUCUGGUUAAAAAAAAUAU